AUUUGGUUAAUUUGAUUUAAAGAAUCACUACAUUUUAAUAUCGAAACAUCAAUCGUAUAACUUUGACAUGUCUGAAUCAGAAUAUAUGGUAUAUAUUUGAAUGAUAGGUCACGUGAUAUGCAAACUUGUGAAAAAUGGACGACAAUGGUAUGUGUAUGAAACGGAUAGUACAAAACAGAACUUUGAAAUUUUGCUCAUUAUUACUAGAGGUGAUAUAUAUAUAUAAAUAUAUAUUUGUUUAUACAACUCAUUGAAACACUUUUUUUAUUUGAUUAAUAAUGCAAAAUGUUUAGUUUUAAAAAGGAUACGUCAUUUUUAAAUGGACAGUUUUGUUGUAACGAUGGUUGCAUUUUCAUUUGUAAUGCUCAUCUUCGGUUUUUUUUUUAAAUUAAACAUCUAGGUUGAAUACCUUUCAAGUGUUCAAAUAAUAAAACGAAAAUGUCAAUCAGUUGCUUUUUCAUUAGGAUUAAUACAGUGACAAUAAAAAAAAAUGAUUUGUUUGGUAUUAUUAUCAUUUAAAACAGGGAUCUGACUCUAUUAUUUUAUAGCUGACAUGUUCAUGCAUGUUUAUUCAUGUAUAUCUUCGUAUAGAUAAAGCUGUGGUUCAGUAUAAUUUGAGCAAUAUGGAGAUCUGGUACAGUAAAAUUGGUACUGUCAAUGGCAUUGCAAACAAAGCAAAAUUUAAAGUAAUUGCAGCCCCAUUGUAACAAAAAGGAUAAAAUGAAAUCGAUAUUUAGGCAGAAUUAUUGAACUUUGUUGUUUUCAUUGUCCGUCUUAUUCUAAAUAGUGCAAUGUACUAUGUUCCUCGUUCAUCUUUAUAUUUUUUUGUGUGAGAAAUUAAAGAUCAUAAGUUGUUUCUGUUUAUACGGAUGAUGUCUAUGUUUUAAUUAUUUUUAUAUGAACUUAUAUGCCAUUAAUUAGCGACUCCAUAGCAUAAAGAUGACAAUUCGACGAGUAUAUUCAAAUGAAAUUAAAAAAAUUAUUAUCAAAUGAAAAGAAAAAAAAAUUAAAAGUGGGAAUGGGUUAUGUGUCAAUGAGACAUCAUAUCAAACAAAAAGCAGAAAAAAGCUGUUAGUUUUUAACUUGAAAUUAAUCUAUGAUUUUCUGUUCUAUCUUUUUAACAAUUUUGAUGAUGUUUUAUGCAAGAAAAAAAAAUUAAUUUGCAGGGUGUUAGGGGAAACAAACCGAAUAGUAUCUUCUGUUUGCAAACACUGUUUAAUCGGUCAAUUUGAAAAAUAGGCUUUAAAUUUGCAAAACAACAUGUCCUGUUAUAUAGAACUACUAUAAAAUAUUUUAUAAAAAAGUUUGUAAGAAAAAGAUUUCUUAGAAUUCAUAUCACCUCCAAUGAUAUGGGUUUUAUUCUCUCUAACAUUUGUUUCCUUUUAAAAAUCUAACUGCCAUGAAAAAAGACACACUGUUUAAUAAAGUAUUUUCUCGGUAUUGAAACAACCAAUAGCAAUUUAAAGCUCAUAAUUUCCCAUUUUAGAGUCUAAAAUAUGAAACACAUAUAUUUUUUUUUCGUUCCGGUAAACCGUAUAUACUUCUUCAAAUGUAUCCCUACCUUGGCAUGGUUGAGUGAUGUUUUAAUUUUUCUUUGCCUGAAUACAAUUUUCUCUGCUGUUUUGAUUAGGUAAAAUUUUGCGAAAGAAACAUUCGUUGUGUUUUAGAAUUAAUAAUUCUAAGGACGAUAAACUGUAUUAUCUUAUGAGCAUGUUAAAAAAAAAUACGACCUUUACCAAACUAUAAAGCUAUCUGUUCUGGAAUGCAUAUACUGAUUCUAUUCUAUUCAAAAUUGCUGUAAUAAAGUUUCAAGUCCAUUUUAAAUUGAGAGACGUAUCGCACCCAUGCACAGCUCAGAUUUCCUGUUCGGGUUAGCCUUUUUGUGGUCCUUUAAGGUUAAUGAUUCUUCAACGUUGGUAUUAAUGUUUCGACUUUGGCAGGUCUUUGCCACAAUCAACACCAAAGAGUCAUGCAUUGUCGAAUUCACUACUGGUUCAAUAUAUAAUGGUAUCAAUAAUGUUAUUAUGGUGGUAUGGAAGUCUAAAUUAAAAUGAUUUUUUUUCAUAUUUUUUAUGUUCAUACUUUUCCAAAUUAAAACGUAGCUUUUUUGUUAAUUAUGUUAAAAAAUAUAAUAAAAUAGAUAAGUCACCGCCGUUUCUCAAGCCUCAUGGAUUAUACAGGAAAAACUAUCAUUAUGUGAUCAGAAGCUAAACUAAAUGAUAGAAUUGUAAAAUAAAUAAGAGAAGAUAGUUUUUAUAAAAUGUUUUGAUAAUAUCAAAAGAAAAGAUAGGGUCACCGUUUUUCUGGCUAAAAUACAAAUGCAAAAUUUCAUAUACACUCCUUCAAAAAUGCACUACUCCAGAGAUACCUCCACUUAAAAGGCCAUUUUUAAAAAAAACAUUGAAAAUCAAUAUAUAAUCUACACUUGUAUAAAUAUUAUUAUUUAUAAGUGAUCAUUUUCUAAAUUUGUUCUUUUAAAUGCAAAUUCAUAUUAGUUAUCUGCCUUCCUGUAUCUAAUUUUGCUAACUUAAUUGAAAAUCUGGACCUUAGAUUCUCUGUUUUUUUACAAUCCAAGAUGGUGAAAGACACCCAUACCAUCUUAAUGUUAUAACUUUUGUAACAUUUUUUUUUUUAUUAAAUGUACUAAAUAAUGUAUCAGGUCAGGUUUACGUAUGUAGUUGGCGUUUGUGUUUUGUUUCACUUCAGUGAUUCUGUGUUUUCUUUGUUUCCCUCGGUUGUAUUCUGUUAUCCGUUUUAUUAUAUUUUUUUUUUAUCUCAAUCGAUGUAUGAAUUUUAAACACCGGUAUACUACUGUUGCCUUUAUUUAUGAUUUUUUUUUUGUCAUAUGUCCGGACUUCUAGGAUUUUUCCCUUUGGUAUAGGGUAAAAUAUUUCAUUCCAUAUCACUCCUUUUUCUUUUUAUGGAAGACUUUAAUAGCUAAUAAAUAUGUCAUUUUAAAAAACUUUUAAAGUAGAUUCUAGAUUUUUUUUAACGAAGUGAGACUCAAACAAUGCCUUUGUUGAAUAUAAGGUAAAAUUAGGAGUCAGUCUUUUCACGUCAUUUAAAGAUAUUAAAUAUCGUACAAAGAAUCAAUAUCAAUAUUUUUAGCCUAUUUUGUUCCUUUAAUUUUCUAUAAUUUCACCCACAUGUAAUUUCAUCCUUAAACGAUUAAAAUGUUCCUUUGUGUCUAUAAUGUGAUCAGUUGUGAAUCAAAUUUAGUCCAGUAACAAAUAUCUAAAGGUUGUCGUUAGUGUCUUUCAUAAAAAUUACCAGUAUUUCUCCUACCAUACACAUUUAUAAAUAGUAAUAUAUAUGUUUCAGAGGUUCACUUUGACUGGCUAAAGAAUGACUUGAAUUUAAAGCGAUGUAGAAUAUCGUCCUAUGCAGAAUGGUAUGUUAUUAAAGCCAUGCACCGUACACAUAUAUAUAUAUAUAUAACGAACAACGGAAAACGAAAUAACACGUGUGUUUAAUCAUGGAAUGCAAAUAGCCAAUUUUAUAAUAAUUUUUGUCUGACAGCUAGAUAUUUGGUGAUUUUAAAACUGAAUUUAAAAUAUGUUUUCAUUCAAACGUUUUCAAUAUCAUCAAAAUCGAAUUAAUACACUAUAAAAAGAAAAAUGAUAUGUUUCUUUGCUUUUCAUGCAUAGAUAUAAUAUAAAAUUUACGGUUUUGAUUUAUCUUUCUUUCCAAAACACAAUAAAGCAAAAUGCAAAGACGUGAGUUUUAAAGUGAUAAAAAAAAAUUCAAAAGGAGGCUGCACAAAGGGUUGCAUUUACAUUAGUAAUAACUAUAUAUUACUAUAUUAAAAUAACAUUCUUAAAUUGCAUCCCAUAGGAUAACAAUAACGAAAAUGAAUUGUUGGUUGAAUAUUAGAAAUAAGAAGAAUCUUCCUAUUAUCAAGUCCUUGAAUUGUUCGAUAUUGUUACUUUUAAACAAAAGAAAAUUGGUAUCCUAUUGUUAAUUAAUAUACUACAUAAAUUGAAAUUGAAACAAUUAUCCACAAUUUACAUCUAUGUAAAAAUAUACAUAUAAUAAAUAGAAAACACCUACCCGGGUCAUAUAACCUCAUGAUUAUUCCAGCAAAAACAUAGAUUCGUUUGUUAUAAAAAAAAAGAAGAAACUUUUUUUCUUAAUUCAUCAAAAUGCAUCCUGCAUAUGACUAAAAUAAAAGAUUACAAUUGUAUUUUUAACCUUAUUCGCGGAAAGUCCGGUAUUGUUUACGCAGAAUUGUUUUCUUAAGGAUCGACACGCUUUUCUGAAAAUUCUAACGGUUUGUCACGUGGUGCAAUAUUCAAAGAUAGCACUAAUUCACAAUAACCAGGAUGUAAAAUAAUCUCACAGAAUGAAACAUGUGAAAGCGGAUAUCUAUUUUUUGGAAAUCAUGUUAAACGCUCAGUAUAAUAAUGGAAGUAAUACACGCAUAGAGACGUUUUCCUUUUAUGAAAUCAAUAACAUGCAGGUUCAAAUUACAUUUCCGAUAAAUAUCAUUAAUCUACGUAUAUAUAAUUACCUUAGAACAGAAAACUUAGUAGUCGGAUAGAAAGGAUACAAAAAGUACAUUUUAUACAAGGAAAAUGUAGAGCAAUAAAAAAAACAGCGUUAAUAUUGUUGUUCUAUAUUUUAAGAAUAGUCAUAUACAAUAGAUAAAUGUUAAAAUUAAUUCCUUGGUACACUUGAGUUUUUUUUUAAAUCAUGCAUAAUCAAACGGACACUUUGAUCAUAAAAUGUACGUCGUCAAUUAAAUAAACCAAAACAUAAAACCUUCUUACAAUUAAAAAUCUCAAAGAAAGUUAUAUAAUACAAAUUAGAAUUUGCAGUUGUAAGUAAUAUUUUACUCACACAAAGAUAAUCACAGCUUCGUUUUGCGAGUUGCGUCAAAACAGUAGAACUUUGCGAUCUCGGCUGUAAAACAAUUUUGACCAUUAGUUUGAUGUAGUGGAAAGAUCUCUCGAAGGAAAUCAGCUAUGGUACAUAUUAUGAAGGCUGGAUACAUAAAAAAUGAAUAAUUUUCUACAUUAUAUACAAUUGUUAUUAAUUAUUACAGAAAAUUGCGCCUGCAGUACAAAAUCGAUUAUGCCUAAAUUAGUUCACAUAAUAAUAAUGAUGAGCUUAUUGGUUUUUAAAAUAUUUACAAUUGUUAUAUAAUUUUGUUUAUAAAAUAACAUUUACUAUCUAUUAGUAGGUUUGUGUCUAGGAAUGAAGCAGGUGAUUUUAUUUCAGUAGUGUCCUUAUGCCCGACCUUAUUAAAAUAUAUGAUGUAUAGAUAAUGGGUAAAGCAAUUUUUAUUUUAUUAUGAAUAUAAGGGAAGACUAACAAAUAUCUAAAUAUAACAAACGACGAACAACAAUCUUAAAUAUACUACAUAAAAAGCUUACAAUAGGCGGCACGAACCCUACGAAAAACCAGGGGUGAUAUAUUGUACUACGAAAUGGUUAUAUUCGGUUAUGUCACGAAAAAAAACCGUUUAGAUUUUGCAUAAGUCGCGUAAAAAUUGCAUUCACAAUAACUGUUCGUUUCAAUAUAUUUCUUUUUUCGCUUUCCUCGAAAAAAAUGAAAUACUAUUAUAUAUAUUUAAGAAAUCAAGUAUACAUCGUUUAACGGCAAAAAAUGUCUCUGCUCUCAAAUGAAGCCAAAAUAUUUGAACAUCUAAAACUAUAUGGAGAAAAGUCAAAAGUGAAGCCAAAGUCAGAAAAGGAAGCGUAGCUUUACACGCAUGAUAAACAUUCCAGAAUUUCAAACGAUUUCCAAAAUUUUAUAAAACAGAACCGAAAGAUUCCAAAUGGACAGUUAAUUUCAAUUAAUCAAUAUCUGUAUUUGUAAGCCGAUACAGAUAUACUAGCUUCUGGAAUGGAGAUACCAUCGAUGACUAUGAAGAUUGAAUGGAACACACUUAGAUAUUAAAAAGAAAUAGAUCAGUAUACAUCGUAAUACGUUUUACAUCUCUAAAGGGUAUUAAGGAAAACAACUAAGUGAAUCUAUUGAUUUACUAAAGAUAGUUUUUACUUACAAAUAUUGUAAUCGAGAAGAAAAAUUAAGGGAUGUCUCUCCAAUUCAACUUCUGUUACCUUAAUCUAAGUUUAUAUUUUUUUCAGAUUUUGAAGAGUUACAAAAGCUUAAAAAGAAAAAGAAAAAAGAAGAAAUGAAUCACUACAAUUGAGGUAAGAAACACAUCAAAAACAUUAUCUAACACCAAAAAAAAAUUAAUACCAAAACUGAAGCAAACUAUCUAAUCGAUUAACGAGAUUUGAACCCUUAGUAAAAUUCUCUCGCGUUAAUUCAAAACCAAAUGAAUAAAUGCUCAGACUGUUUAAUGCUUUAGGAGCUAUAUGUGGAACACUGAAAGCAUAGCAACAACGAUCUUAGGUCUGUUUUGCUUGUAUGAGCUAAAACCUUAGUUCACAAACAUGUUAAAGUCAUAUGAAGCUUCAAAUUAAAAACAAAUAUGCAUAUGUUAUUUAUAACUAAAUGGCUAGUUUUAAAACUUAUGUACAUAUACUUUUUCUAAAGAAAAUUCUAUAAUUUGUCCAAAUUUAGAAAAGGUUUACUUUUUUAUUUCUUGCUUCAAGCAAACAAUUCGCCGACAUGUUUUCCGUAUGCAGCAUGACUUUCCUCGUAAAAAUACGGUGAGCCCAAUACGCAAGUGCGAAUGGAUAACCAAAGUAAACAUCGUUCCGUGAUCAAGAUAAACUAUAUCUUAUUUUACCUGUUAUACACGUAUUAACUGGAAUAUCCAUGCUUCUUUGUUGAAUAUUUACAAACGGGUGACAAUCUUUAAACUUGGGGUUCAAAACACGACUAGCAAAAAGCUGUCAUAUUUUCACAACAACACUGACCGAUUGAAAUAUUCGACGAUUAUACGAAAUUUAUGAGAAAAUAAUGUAAAAAAGAUCGUCCAUAGAAGACAAGUUUAUGAUAUAUGUAUGCAUUGGUUCAAAAAUUGGAUACACAUUAUUGUUCACCGGUCACUCAUUUCAUAUGACUUUAAUCGUAAGUCAUUUAAAAGUUUAUGAAAGGUGUUUUUUUUCUUGAUUUGAAGUUAAAUUCUUAUUAUUGUGUCAGCUUAUGUGUCAGCUUACGUCCACAGCUGGUAGACGUUUCGUCCCCGAGGGUAUCACCAGCCCAGUAGUCAGCACUUCGGUGUUGACAUGAAUAUCAACUAUAUUGUCAUUUUUAUAAAUUUCCUGUUACAAAACUUUGAAUAUUUCGAAAACCUAAGGAUUGUCUUAUCUCAGGAAUAGAUUACCUUAGCCGUAUUUGGCACAACCUUUUGGAAUUUUGGGUCCUUAAUGCUCUUAACUUUGUAUUUGUUUGGGUUUUAACUAUUUUGGUCUGAGGGUCACUGAUGAGUCUUAUGUAGACGAAACGCGCGUCUGGCGUAUUAAAUUAUAAUCCUGGAACCUUUGAUAACUAAUUAUGUAAAGUAAUCAGAGAAUUAUUUCAAACUGUUAAGUACGAUUGAAUGUCAAAGACAUCGGAAAGCAUAAUCUCAUGUGACUUGACAUUUGAGUUAUCUUCCUUUGUCUUUAAACUUUUCCAAAUAACGCGCUAUAUAUAUUAAUUUUAAUCAAUGGUCCUACAUAAUAUCUCCGUAAUCUUAAAUAAUAGCGCAUAAAUUGACAAUGAUUUGAGUUAACAUAUCAAAAUAUUCCAAGGGAAAUGAAUUUAUUUCUAAGAAAGAACAAGAAACUCAAAAAAUACUUGUCAUAACUGGAUUUAUUUUCCUUAAUCUGGGUUGCCAAUUAAACCUGGCUUUCCUGUUACAUAAAUAACAACUUGAUGCGGAUUAUUGAGGUUUUAAUUCUAAGAAAUACUGGUUCUUUAAAGAUAGCAAGCUAUUAGGCUAACAAACGUUAAAGAUGUUUCUAACGGUAUUAAGUAAUCAAAAUAGUUCAAUUUGAAUCUGUAUGUUCAACACUGUCUAAUUCCAAGAAGUGUAGACGAUGCACUGUUUAUUUCAUUAUUCUAAAUGGGUCAUAAAAAGUUGCGCGUUAUCUCUUAGAAAAAUAAUUUCCAAGAAUUCAUCUCCGUGUAAUACACUGUCGACACAUCCAAUGUUUCUCGGUUAAAAUGUCAUGUUAUUUCCUCAUGAGAUCUUGAUAUAUAUAUGUUAAGUUGAUUAACCAGAUGUCAAGAUCAGUAUGCUGCGGAUGUCUCAAAUUUAUAACUUUUUAUUACUAAACACGUUUGGUACAAAUGUACUUAUACAUAUGACUCAAUUAAAAACAGACCAUUUUGAGCAAAUGUAAUAAACAAUAUUGCAUUGUACUGUUGUAGGACUCCAAACACACUACCAUAAACAUUGUAAAGAAUUCAUCGAUAAUACAUCAUUAUUAAUUGCCCUUCAAAUGUGUUCUUUAUUUGAAUAGAGAUUCAAUAAUAAGUCUUGGCAGACGAAACGCGCAUAUCUGGUGUACAAACGUAUUUAAGCCUUGUAUCUUUUAUUUCAUGAUUUUACUUAAUUUUGGAGAAUUGAUUUUAUAAGAUGCUUGAUUGAUUUAAUUUCCAGAUUAUUUUUCCUUUUCUCCACAUUCUCUCUCAAUUUCCCUCAGUUUUUUUUUAUUGAAAACUUCGAUUUGUCUAUUUUCGCCUUUAUUUCUUACUACCUGGCGGAAUAAUCUGAAAAUUAUUACAAAGAUAAUAUUUAAUUACACGAAACAAAAAUCUUUGAUACAUGUCAAAAUAACAAUCAGUGACAAUAGCUUACAACAGUUGAAUAAGGAACUUUCUAAUUGAGUUGGCCUUCCAUUUGAUUACAUGUUUCUGAUGAAGGUAACACAUGACUUAAAGCAACAAUAGUAUACUGCUGUUAAAGAAUAAUAAAUUGAAGGAGAGAAAACAAAUCCGGGUUACCAUCUAAAACCAAGGUUAGCACAUCAAUUAUAAGAUUAAAACAGCGAAACAACAGAAACACUGAAGUGCAAAAAAAAUCCAACCAAUGCAACAUUCACAGAAACGAAUUAUUAGAUAACUACUGAUUUUUUUCAUAAAUUUUAUAUUGUGUGGUGUUAAUAUUUUUUUAGUGUGAGUGCCUUGAUGUGCAAAAUGAAGACCGAACGGUCGAUCGGCUAACUGUAUUAUAAGCAUAGUACAUAUAUAUGGUAAGGUUUUUUUCGAACAGGAC
rnacentral:lncRNA from 1 species